rnacentral:rRNA from 1 species
AUGGAGACGCCCACCCCAUGGAGGGUCCUCGAGUUCUACAGCGGUAUCGGCGGCAUGCGGUACUCCCUUGCGUCGUCGGGCGUUCGAGCGGAGGUGGUGGAGGCCUUUGACAUCAACGACGUCGCCAACGACGUCUACGAGCACAACUUCGGCCACCGCCCCUCCCAGGGAAACAUUCAAACACUCACUGCUGGUGAUCUAGAUAAGUACAAGGCACAUGCAUGGCUCCUUUCUCCUCCAUGUCAACCAUACACACGGCAAGGACUUCAGAAACAUUCAGCUGAUGCUCGGGCAUUUUCAUUUAUAAAGAUUUUAAACCUUAUGCAAAACAUGAGCUUUCCUCCACAAAUGUUAUUUGUGGAAAAUGUUGUCGGAUUCGAGGUGUCUGAUACACACGACCAGUUGUUAGCGGUCCUUUCAACUCUCAAUUUCAACACACAAGAAUUCAUCCUAAGCCCCUUGCAGUUUGGUGUCCCAUAUUCUAGACCGCGCUACUUCUGUUUGGCAAAACAGGAAUCUAUGUCUUUUCCAAAUCCAUCAGUCAAUGACAAGCUGCUUAGGGCACCUACAUGCCUAACAUUGAACACUAUGAGAACUCAGAUUAGCUAUGACCAGAAUGAAGAUGAUCUGGAAGUAGUAUGUAAUCCAAUAAGAAACUUCCUUGAAGCACAGAGUAUUGGAGAUAAGGAAUGUUCAGCCAUCAUCUCUGACUUUAAGGAGGCUGAUGGAUGCACUCUGAUUGAAACUGCUUCACAUGACUACACAGUUCCACUAAGCUUGAUUGAACGGUGGGGAAAUGCUAUGGAUAUUGUAUACCCUGAAUCAAAACGGUGCUGCUGUUUUACUAAAAGUUAUUAUCGCUAUGUGAAGGGCACAGGCUCUGUACUGGUUACAUCUAAAAACCUCAAACCAGUUCCAAAAGAGAACCUUGAAAUGUCUUCACUGAAUGAGUUGGGUUUACGGUUUUUCACCCCUCGAGAGGUCGCUAAUUUGCAUUCAUUUCCCCCGAGUUUCCGUUUUCCGGGUCACAUAAGCCUCAGACAACAGUAUGCCAUGCUGGGUAAUAGUCUGAGCGUAGCGGUUGUGGCUCCUUUGCUGCGCUAUCUGUUUGCCGAGACAUAG